rnacentral:SRP_RNA from 3 species
AUGCGGGUCCUGUGCGACAGAGCGCCGUGAACCAUGUCAGGCGGGGAACCGAGCAGCAUUAAGCGGUUUUGUUUUGUGCGCCGCAGGAAGCCUGCACACC